GGCUUGGUGGUGGAUGGUUCACAUCUGCAUUUCAUGAAUCGUCCUGUGCAUUGAGUCAUUGACGCAGGAGGAGCCAGUUCGAUCCGGGCCUGAGCCA